rnacentral:rRNA from 1 species
UACGAAGGGGGCUAGCGUUGUUCGGAUUUACUGGGCGUAAAGCGCACGUAGGCGGAUCGUUAAGUCGGGGGUGAAAUCCUGGAGCUCAACUCCAGAACUGCCUUCGAUACUGGCGAUCUUGAGUCCGGAAGAGGUGAGUGGAACUCCUAGUGUAGAGGUGGAAUUCGUAGAUAUUAGGAAGAACACCAGUGGGGAAGGCGGCUCACUGGUCCGGUACUGACGCUGAGGUGCGAAAGCGUGGGGAGCAAACAGG